GGUGGCUCAGUGGUAGAGUGCUUGCCUUGCAUGCAUGACAUCCUGGGUUCAAUUCCUCAGCACCA
rnacentral:tRNA from 1 species